AGUAGUUUGACUCUGCUCAGGACGAACGCUGGCGGCGCGCCUAACACAUGCAAGUCGAACGGGACAUUUUUGGGAGAAGUUUUUCGGAUGGAUCUCGGGAUAGUUUAGUGGCGACGGGUGAGUAACACGUGAGCAACCUACCUUCGAGAGGGGAAUAACGGCUGGAAACGGUCGCUAAUACCGCAUAACAUACUGGAGGGACAUCCCUUUGGUAUCAAAGAUUUAUCGCUCGGAGAUGGGCUCGCGUCCGAUUAGGUAGUUGGUGAGGUAACGGCUCACCAAGCCGACGAUCGGUAGCCGGACUGAGAGGUCGAACGGCCACAUUGGGACUGAGACGACGGCCCAGACUCCUACGGGAGGCAGCAGUGGGGAUAUUGCACAAUGGGGGAAACCCUGAUGCAGCGACGCCGCGUGUGGGAAGACGGUCCUCUGGAUUGUAAACCACUGUCCCCAGGGACGAAGAUGACGGUACCUGGGGAGGAAGCUCCGGCUAACUACGUG
rnacentral:rRNA from 1 species